rnacentral:rRNA from 1 species
GACGAACGCUGGCGGCGUGCUUAACACAUGCAAGUCGAACGAAGAGCGAUGGAAGCUUGCUUCUCUCAAUCUUAGUGGCGAACGGGUGAGUAACGCGUAAUCAACCUGCCCUUCAGAGGGGGACAACAGUUGGAAACGACUGCUAAUACCGCAUACGAUCUAAUCUCGGCAUCGAGGAUAGAUGAAAGGUGGCCUCUACAUGUAAGCUAUCACUGAAGGAGGGGGUUGCGUCUGAUUAGCUAGUUGGAGGGGUAACGGCCCACCAAGGCGAUGAUCAGUAGCCGGUCUGAGAGGAUGAACGGCCACAUUGGGACUGAGACACGGCCCAGACUCCUACGGGAGGCAGCAGUGGGGAAUCUUCCGCAAUGGACGAAAGUCUGACGGAGCAACGCCGCGUGAGUGAUGACGGCCUUCGGGUUGUAAAGCUCUGUUAAUCGGGACGAAAGGCCUUCUUGCGAAUAGUGAGAAGGAUUGACGGUACCGGAAUAGAAAGCCACGGCUAACUACGUG